rnacentral:snRNA from 1 species
GUGCUCACUUCGGCGGCACAUAUACUAAAACUGGAAUGACUCAGAGAAGAUUAGCAUGGCCCCUGUGCAAGGAUGACUUGCUAAGUCGUUGACUGUAUGUUCUCUGA